UACGAAGGGGGCUAGCGUUGCUCGGAAUCACUGGGCGUAAAGCGCACGUAGGCGGGUUGCUAAGUCAGGGGUGAAAUCCUGGAGCUCAACUCCAGAACUGCCUUUGAUACUGGCGGCCUUGAGUCCGGGAGAGGUGAGUGGAACUGCGAGUGUAGAGGCGAAAUUCGUAGAUAUUCGCAAGAACACCAGUGGCGAAGGCGGCUCACUGGCCCGGUUACUGACGCUGAGGUGCGAAAGCGUGGGGAGCAAACAGG
rnacentral:rRNA from 1 species